GGGCGGAUGGCCGAGCGGUCCAAGGCGCCACGUUAAGGCCGUGGUCUCUUCGGAGGCGUGGGUUCGAAUCCCACUCCGCUCA
rnacentral:tRNA from 1 species